GCCUAACACAUGCAAGUCGAGGGGUAACAGAGAGAAGCUUGCUUUUCUGCUGACGACCGGCGCACGGGUGCGUAACGCGUAUACAAUCUGCCUUAUACAGAGGGAUAGCCUUUAGAAAUGAAGAUUAAUACCUUAUAGUCUAUUUUUAUAGCAUUAUAUAAAUAGUAAAGCUUCGGUGGUAUAAGAUGAGUAUGCGUCCUAUUAGUUAGUUGGUAAGGUAACGGCUUACCAAGACAACGAUAGGUAGGGGCCCUGAGAGGGGGAUCCCCCACACUGGUACUGAGACACGGACCAGACUCCUACGGGAGGCAGCAGUGAGGAAUAUUGGACAAUGGAGGCAACUCUGAUCCAGCCAUGCCGCGUGCAGGAUGACGGCCCUAUGGGUUGUAAACUGCUUUUAUAUAGGAAGAAACCUUUUCACGUGUGAGAAGCUGACGGUACUAUAAGAAUAAGGACCGGCUAACUCCGUGCCAGCAGCCGCGGUAAUA
rnacentral:rRNA from 1 species